CUUUUUUAAAUUUCACAAAUAUCAACAUCGAAAUGUGUCGCUACUGCACCAUAUACACGGCUGGCUUCGCUACAUGUGAUGCACUCACAGCCGCCAUCUUCAUAGGCUUCUAAAUCCGCUUCAUCGCAUGUACUCAGAGCCAACAAUUACUACACCAUAACAUCAGAGAACAAAUGGAAUAUAUCACCAUUCAACGUUACGUUGUUGAAGACUUCUGUGACCCAUAAGUGACCCCCCCCCUUCGCUGCGGGCCUCCGUUAAACACCAAGCAGAGUCUCCCGUGUAUGUUCUCUCCAUGUUGUCUCGCUUCGUCCUGCCGCUCCCAGUGCUGCAGUCCACAGCGCGCAUGAUCACAAAGGUCAAGGAGAGGCUAGUUCUAGCACACCUCAGACCCUUAGUGUGCCCAUCACAGGACCCCUUACAGUUUGCAUAUCAGCCCCAUGUUGGGGUUAAUGAUGCAAUCAUCUACCUGCUGCAGGAAGCCUUCUCCUCCCUGGAUGGACUCAACACCUCAGUCCACUUCAUGUUCUUUGACUUCUCAACACCAUCCAGCCCAGGCUGCUGAAGGCCAAACUGGAGAACAUGCAGGUGGAUUCUGCCUGCGUCAUGUGGGUUGAAGCCUAUCUGACGUGCAGACGGCAAUAUGUGGUGGGGAGAACUACCUGCAGCUGAACGUGGCGAAGAUGAAAGAGAUGGUGGCGGACUUCAGGAGGAACAAGCCUCGCCCUCUCCAGUCUGCAUUGGUGGGACAGACGUUGACAUUGUGGAUACAUACAAAUACCUGGGUGUGGUGCUGGACAGUAUACUGGACUGGACUACAAACACAGAGGCAGUCUAUGAAGGGCCUGAGCCAGCUUUACUUCCUGAGGAGGUUCAGGUCCUUCAAUGUCUGCAAUCAGAUGCUCCAGAUGUUCUAUCAGCCUGUUGUUGGGAGCACCAUCUUCUUCACACUGGUGUCCUGGGAUGCGGGCAUCAAAACAAAGGAUGCAAACAGACUGAAUAAACUGUUGUUAAACUGUCUGUUGUUGGCUCUGAGCUUGUUGACCCUGGUGGAGGUGGUGGAGGACAGGAUGCUGGUGAAACUGCUGGCGAUAGUGGACAAAGUCUCUCACCCCCUCCACAAAACUGAAGAGCAGCUUCACCCAUUCAACCCCGCUGCCUUAAAGACCAGCACAGGAUAUCAUUCCUACCUGCUGACAUCAGACUUUAUAUUGCUCACAUAACAAAACACAAAACACACACUUAACUAUUGAGCUUUACAUUAUUUCUGCACAUAACCCUGCAUUUGUACAUAAACCUGUACCUUCACUCUUGCUCUUUAUGUUUCAGUUACCUCAACAUUUCAUUUUAUUUACCUCAAUAUUUUUAUUUGUAUUAUAUUUCAUAACUAGCAUUUUAUUGUAUAUAGUAAUCUAUAGUUAGGAACGUUCUAUUUUAUUCUAUUGUUUUCGAUGCAUAUUGUAUAUAGUACUUUUUGUUUCUUAUUGCCUCUACAUUUGCCCUAAUAUUUUUAUUGUAUUUGUACUGAAUGUACCUGCUGCUAUUAUGACCAAUGGCAUGUCUUUGUACUCUUAUGAGGACAAUUGCCAGUUCUCAUUCGCUAUGGGCAGAAGGCAUUUGUGGAAUGGUCCCCCCCGUCUGAGUCACAGUGCUGUGUCGGUGGGCUUGUGUCCUUAAUGGUUGCAGACGGUUGAAGUUCCUGCUAACUACUUCUGAGUGGAAUUCUAUACCUUUACGCUUUUAUCUUAACAUGGCUGUGACAGGAAAUGCAUGUGUGAGCUUCCUUCCUGACUCCAGAAUGUUUCUACAGGAAAAGAAGCAAUGAAGACUUUAUAAGAUGUAGACCCUAAGGUUUAGAAGCAGCCACAGUCACUCUGCCACAGCCAACAACAGACAAUUCCCACACUCCCCCAACGCAAAGAAUGUUUCCUGUCUAACUGAGCUGCAAAGCAUUUUGCUCAACAGAUCACGUUUUUUAAUGUUGAAGUCAGCCCGAGGCAGGAGAGAAAAAAAAAAAGAGAACAAGUAACAAAUUGAAAUUCAAAAUGAAUAGGAAUGGUGGACUCUGCCUCUAGCCAUUAAAACUACCAUGAAAAGAAUGAAUUCCUGAAUGUAAACACACUCAGUGACGUGCUGAAAAUUAUAAAGCAUAUGGGGCUGGAAAACUUUCUCACUUUAAUUUAAUUGUAACUCAAGAACACCGACAAAAGAAAGAAAAUGUCAAAACAAGAGGAGG